GACAAAUGUUCUGUUUUACCGUUUCCUAAAAUGUGCAGUAAGACUGUUUUGCGUGUAUGAUCCAAAACGCAGUUUGUUUCAUUUAAGUGCGUCUUCCUACAUGCUAAUGUGUCGCAAAGACAAAGAAGUGGUGUGGCUCACGUUAUAAUGUCAAACAAACUAUCCUUUUACGUAAGCAAUUGAUUCUUAUAAGAAAUUAGCGAAUUUUUGUUCUUUAUUUGCAUGUCUUAAAAGCAUAGUGGUCAGAAUAAUGAUUAGUUUUUUUUUAAUUU
rnacentral:lncRNA from 1 species